GAUGAACGCUGGCGGCGUGCCUAAUACAUGCAAGUCGAGCGAACGGACGAGAAGCUUGCUUCUCUGAUGUUAGCGGCGGACGGGUGAGUAACACGUGGAUAACCUACCUAUAAGACUGGGAUAACUUCGGGAAACCGGAGCUAAUACCGGAUAAUAUUUUGAACCGCAUGGUUCAAAAGUGAAAGACGGUCUUGCUGUCACUUAUAGAUGGAUCCGCGCUGCAUUAGCUAGUUGGUAAGGUAACGGCUUACCAAGGCAACGAUGCAUAGCCGACCUGAGAGGGUGAUCGGCCACACUGGAGCUGAGACACGGACCAGACUCCUACGGGAGGCAGCAGUAGGGAAUCUUCCGCAAUGGGCGAAAGCCUGACGGAGCAACGCCGCGUGAGUGAUGAAGGUCUUCGGAUCGUAAAACUCUGUUAUUAGGGAAGAACAUAUGUGUAAGUAACUGUGCACAUCUUGACGGUACCUAAUCAGAAAGCCACGGCUAACUACGUG
rnacentral:rRNA from 1 species